UAGGGAAUCUUCCGCAAUGGGCGAAAGCUUGACGGAGCAACGCCGCGUGAGUGAUGAAGGUCUUCGGAUCGUAAAACUCUGUUAUUAGGGAAGAACAAAUGUGUAAGUAACUAUGCACGUCUUGACGGUACCUAAUCAGAAAGCCACGGCUAACUACGUGCCAGCAGCCGCGGUAAUACGUAGGUGGCAAGCGUUAUCCGGAAUUAUUGGGCGUAAAGCGCGCGUAGGCGGUUUUUUAAGUCUGAUGUGAAAGCCCACGGCUCAACCGUGGAGGGUCAUUGGAAACUGGAAAACUUGAGUGCAGAAGAGGAAAGUGGAAUUCCAUGUGUAGCGGUGAAAUGCGCAGAGAUAUGGAGGAACACCAGUGGCGAAGGCGACUUUCUGGUCUGUAACUGACGCUGAUGUGCGCAAGCGUGGGGAUCAAACAGG
rnacentral:rRNA from 1 species